AACGAACGCUGGCGGCAUGCCUAACACAUGCAAGUCGAACGAGACCUUCGGGUCUAGUGGCGCACGGGUUCGUAACGCGUGGGAACCUUCCCUUAUGUUCGGCAUAACUCCCCGAAAGGGGUGCUAAUACCGGAUAAUGUCUUCUGACCAAAGAUUUAUCGCCUUUGGUUGGGCCCGCGUUGGAUUAGCUAUUUGUUAGGGUAAAAGCCUCCCAAGGCGACGAUCCGUAGCUGGUCUGAGAGGAUGGUCAGCCACACUGGGACUGAGACACGGCCCAGACUCCUACGGGAGGCAGCAGUGGGGAAUAUUGGACAAUGGGCGGAAGCAUGAUGCAGUAAUGCCGCGUGAGUGAUGAAGGCCUUAGGGUUGUAAAGCUCUUUUACCCGGGAUGAUAAUGACAGUACCGGGAGAAUAAGCUCCGGCUAACUCCGUG
rnacentral:rRNA from 1 species